rnacentral:sRNA from 1 species
AAUGGCGGAUCAAAGACUAAGAACACCGCGUCCUGCGGCAACGUCUUUGU